GAUGAAGAACGCAGCGAAAUGCGAUAAGUAAUGUGAAUUGCAGAAUUCAGUGAAUCAUCGAAUCUUUGAACGCACCUUGCGCUCCUUGGUAUUCCGAGGAGCAUGCCUGUUUGAGUAUCAUGAAAUUCUCAACCUUUCUGGCUUUUGCAAGCUAGUUUAGGCUUGGAUUAUGGAAGUUGCUGGCUUUUGAAGUCGGCUCUUCUGAAAUGCAUUAGAAGAUUCAUUGCUGCUCAUCAUUGGUAUGAUAAUUAUCUAUACCAUUGAGAGUCGGUUUCCUUCAUUGGAGGAUUUUGCUUCUAACUGUCUUAAAUUAAGACAUCAUUUGACCAUUUUGAUCUCAAAUCAGGUAGGACUACCCGCUGAACUUAAGCAUAUCAAUAGCGGAGGA
rnacentral:misc_RNA from 1 species